rnacentral:rRNA from 1 species
AGGAGCUUGCUUUUCUUGAUUUAGUGGCGAACGGGUGAGUAACGCGUGAGGAACCUGCCUUUCAGAGGGGGACAACAGUUGGAAACGACUGCUAAUACCGCAUGACACAUAGGUGUCGCAUGGCACUUAUGUCAAAGAUUUAUCGCUGAAAGAUGGCCUCGCGUCUGAUUAGCUAGUUGGUGAGGUAACGGCUCACCAAGGCGACGACGGGUAGCCGGCCUGAGAGGGUGACCGGCCACACUGGGACUGAGACACGGCCCAGACUCC